rnacentral:rRNA from 1 species
GGGGAAUUUUGGACAAUGGGCGCAAGCCUGAUCCAGCCAUGCCGCGUGUAUGAAGAAGGCCUUCGGGCUGUAAAGUACUUUUGUCAGGGAAGAAAAGCCUGAGGAUAACACCCUCAGGUCAUGACGGUACCUGAAGAAUAAGCACCGGCUAACUACGUGCCAGCAGCCGCGGUAAUACGUAGGGUGCGAGCGUUAAUCGGAAUUACUGGGCGUAAAGCGAGCGCAGACGGUUAUUUAAGCAAGAUGUGAAAGCCCCGGGCUCAACCUGGGAACUGCGUUUUGAACUGGGUAACUAGAGUGUGUCAGAGGGGGGUAGAAUUCCACGUGUAGCAGUGAAAUGCGUAGAGAUGUGGAGGAAUACCGAUGGCGAAGGCAGCCCCCUGGGAUAACACUGACGUUCAUGCUCGAAAGCGUGGGUAGCAAAC